rnacentral:rRNA from 1 species
UUUUUAUGUGGACCUCUGUCCUUGUGCCUUUGGUGCUUGGAUAGAAACACAUAAGCAGGUGAAACUUCUUAGAGGAACUGGCGUCCAAAAAGGCGCACGAGAAAGAGCAAUAACAGGUCUGUGAUGCCCUAAGAUGUCCGGGGCCGCACGCGUGCUACAAUGACGAUGCUACUGAGCAUGAUUAACUUGUCCGAAAGGAUUGGUGAAACUGUUCAAUCAUCGUCGUGACUGGGAUUGGGGUUUGCAAUUGUCCCCCAUGAACCAGGAAUUCCUAGUAAGCACAAGUCAUAAGCUUGUGCUGAUUACGUCCCUGCCCUUUGUACACACCGCCCGUCGCUACUACCGAUUGAAUGGUUUAGCAAGGACAUUGGAUUGAGCUCUUGCGGUUUCGGCUGCUUGCGCUUGAGAAGAUGUCCGAACUUGAUCAUUUAGAGGAAGUAAAAGUCGUAACAAGGUUUCCGUAGGUGAACCUGCGGAAGGAUCAUUA